AAUAAUCUGAUUGGUUGAUGAGGCGUAAACAACCAAGUCCGUGUCCUCGCAGCACCUUUUUUUUAACAUGCCAAGUUUUCUCGUUUUAAAACCAUGAAUCCAUCAAGAGUCUGGAUAUUUGUGUUUUUGUCUUUAAUGUGGGGGGAUGUGGACCCAGCUGGAGGCGAGAAACAUUCCCUCACGUACAUCUACACGGCCCUCUCCAAACCUGUGGGACUCCCGGGCAUCCACGAGUUCACAGCCAUGGGUCUGCUGGACGGCAAGAUGAUCGACUACUACGACAGUGAGCAUCAGACCAAAGUUCCCAAACAGCCCUGGAUGGAAGAGCGACUUUCUAAAGAGUACUGGGACAAAGGAACACAGUCCCGCCGGAGCAAGCAGCAGUGGUUCAAGGUCAACAUCGACAUCCUGAUGAAACGGAUGAGACAGAAUGACACCGACGUCCAUGUUCUCCAGUGGAUGCACGGCUGUGAAGGCGAGGUACAACCUGACGGCUCUCUACAGUUCCAGCGUGGUAUGGACAUGUACAACUAUGAUGGAAACGACUUCCUGUCCUUCGAUGAUGCCAACGCAGUCUGGGUCGCCCCGACUGAUGCAGCUGUCCCCACCAAGAGGAAGUGGGAUGAAGUCCAGGUCCUGAAAGAAUACACCAAAGGCUACCUGGAGAACGAGUGCAUGGACUGGCUGGGGAAGUUCUGGAGUUACGGCGAAAAUCAGACAAGAAAAGCCUCUCCUCCUGAAGUGUUCUUGUUUGGGAGAAACGCCAAAGUUGAGACCAACGUCACUUUGACGUGCCUGGCCACAGGCUUCUACCAAAAAGACAUCGUCCUCAAUAUCAGGAGGAACGGCCGUAUUCUAACCAGAGAGGACGGAGUGGUGACCUCAGGAGUUCGUCCAAAUGAAGACGACACCUUCCAGAGAAGAGACUAUGUGGAGAUUAAAAGAUCAGACAAGUCUGAUUACACCUGUGAAGUCAUUCAUGCUGCAUCUGAUACGUAUGUGAGGAAUUCCUGGGAUCAUCGUCUUCCUUCUGGCUCUGAUGGAGACACAGUUGUCAUCAUUGGUGCAGGGGGAGGAGGCCUGGUCCUGGUCCUGGUUCUAGUUGUGGUUGCGGUGCUGUUGGUUCUGAAGAAACGAGGCGACCUUGGAGCUGGUACUAAUGAUGAUAAAAGAUAAAGUGAAGGUUAAUGUCAUCAGUUCACAAGACAUGAAGGGCUACGAUCGUUCUCAGAGCAGCAGCAGCAGCAGCAGCAUCGACUCUGGUGUCUCUGUCAAUGGCAACACAAAGGACAAAGAGGCUGAGAGUCUCCUGGAUGGAAAUGUGCAAGUCUGAAGUCUCCAGGAAUAUUUCAUCAGAAACAUGGAAUCCAUCCAUCAGUAGCAGGAGACUGAGACUAAAGUAUUUUCUAAUCGUCUUCAAACCUCAAAGUGACAUUUUAGAUGAACUUUUUUGAAUCAGGAGCGUUUGAUCAGAGCGAGCUGGAAGAAAUGAGACUUUAAAGAGUCAGAGUGGAUGUUUACUGGAGCUGCUCCAACCAAACAGCGUUAGAGUUCAGGAGAAAUAAGCUAAACUAGUGGAGAAGCACUUUAUAUUUCAAUCUAAAUCUAAUAAUAUGUUUAAAUAAUUGGGACACUAGAACUCCUGUUUGAAGACAGAAAUGAUGAAGGUGAUGAUGAAGGUGUUUGAAUGUAAAAUCAUUUUAAAGUAGAGGAAAUCUGCAAGAACUCUGAAAGAGUUUUAAGUGUUAACUAACACACUAGAGCCGCUGCCUGUGUUAUUGUGUUAAUGUCUGGGUUCAGGUUUGUGGAUGUUUAACCGUCAGGUGUCACUUUAAUUUACUGCACAAAAAUCUCCAAAAAUUUUUUUGUUUUUGUUGUUUUUUUUUUUGUAUAAAUCUCUGAAAGCAUUUGAGGACUUUACAAAACUACCAAACAUUCAAUCAUCCUGAGGAUUUUAACCUGUUAAAUGCAAUUUAGGUUACUUAGAGUCACUGUUUACGGAAAAAAUAAAUAAAUAAAUAAAAAUUGCUAUUUUCCAUGAAACUAAUAUUGGGGGGUUGGGGCGUUUCUUUCAGGUCAGGCCUGGAUAUGACCAGGAUUAUCUAAAAUAUAGACUUCAUUCGUAGUUUUUGUGUAGAAACAGAUUUAAAAUUUGCUUCUAAAAAUGUCCCAUUGACUUCCAUCAUAAACACAUAUUUUAAUCUCUGCUCAACAACACAAACACAAAAACCAUGACAUUUUAUACGUAGGCCCGAUUACAGGGAAGUAGCUCAUUUUACUUUUACAUUUUACACUAAAAAUGACAAAUAUGACCAUUUGUCUCCAAAAUGAUUUCUUUAAGUCGUGGCUGAGAGAUUAAAACAUGUGGUUAUAAUGGGAGUCAAUGGGACAUUUUUAGUGGUAAACUUUAAAUCUGAUGCUACACAAAAACUAAUAAUGAAAUCAAGCACUAUUUUAGAUAAUGUUGGUCAUGAUCUGAACACACUAGUUUUAUCCUCAGACUGUUGGAUCAUGCGGUAGUUUUACAAAGUGCUGAAGUGGAAUGAAGGCAGUGGAUUGUUUUCACAGUGUUGUGUUGAGCCACUAAAAUGUAUUUAUAUUAUUUGUUUCAAACUUUGUACCGAGACUUUGUUACAAAAACUUUGUGAACACGUGCACUAACCGCUAAAAUAAUUCCAGAUGAAGAGGAAACUUUUGCCUUAAAGGACAAAGAUGGAGCUGUUAGAGCCAGACAGUGUUAGAGUGGAGGAGAAAUUACAUAAAAUACAGAUGUCACACUACCUGAUGUGAUGAAACAUUAACUAAAAGCUACAAACUAAAAACUAGAAAUCCUGUUUGAGGACAGAAGUGAUGAAGAAGGUGUUUGUGUUUUUAUUUUGUUGUUGAUGUUGUUUUUGAGAAAGUGUAAAUGUACCUGGAGAUUCAGGAAGAUUCAGACUGAAAAACAAACGCCUCAUGUUUUUUAGUUCAGACUGACAGAGAAAUCUGACCUGACACUAUAAAUGUUCUCUAUUGCUUUAAGUUUUAACUUUAACCACCAUGUAGAAUUACCUGUAGUAUUACCUGUAGUAUUACCUGUAGUAUUAUCUGUGAUUAACAGCCUGAACAGAUUUGAGUGUUGCACUACAUUUAUUCAAGUUUUAUCAUGAAAAGCUUUUUGCCUUAAGUUGAUUUUUUUUGUGUUUGUUUCAUUUUAUCUCUGGGCUUUUCUCCACUUCUUUCAUGAGAAGAACUGAGAACUGAGCUUAGUUGUAUUAAACAUUAUGAAUAAAAGUGUUAUAGAUAUGUUAUGAAGUAUUAUAUGAUGACUUGAGACAGAAGUGAUGAGUAUGAAAUACCUGGAGCUUCUGUCUAUAAUCUGUUCAAGUCUAACUGUUGUUUAUUCUUCAUGUCAGUGAAAAUAAACAGCGAUGAGUUCCA